UACGUAGGGGGCGAGCGUUGUCCGGAUUUAUUGGGCGUAAAGAGCUCGUAGGCGGCUUGGCAAGUCGGGUGUGAAACCUCCAGGCUCAACCUGGAGACGCCACUCGAUACUGCCAUGGCUAGAGUCCGGUAGGGGACCACGGAAUUCCUGGUGUAGCGGUGAAAUGCGCAGAUAUCAGGAGGAACACCGGUGGCGAAGGCGGUGGUCUGGGCCGGCACUGACGCUGAGGAGCGAAAGCCAGGGGAGCAAACGGG
rnacentral:rRNA from 1 species